ACGACUUCUAAUCCAUCAGCAAGGAAGGACGAUUUUGGUAUGUAAUCAGUUGCGCCGCAUCCCGCCAUGCCCCAUCUCCAUCCUUCAGCAAAACAGAAGAAUGAGCAGCGCCAUGUACCUGAAUCUCUCAGUUUUAGAGCUCUCUUCUAUGCCACACACCCCAUAUAGAAAUGCAAAGGACUAAGAUCGAGAAUGUAUACAGCGCCUCUUGCGGAGCACUCUUUCUCGCCCCAGAGAUCAGCAUUGCCGCGAUACCCUUCGAUCAAUUUGCUGAGGGCACAAUUGACCCAAUGCCACACCCAACAUCCAUAGUCGUCCACAUCAUCAUCAUCAUCAUCAUUAUCAACAACGGGGCAAUGCAGCUCAAAAACGACGACAGCAGGUGUUAUGAAAGUCAUUGUCUGAAUGGGUGCAUAAAUCUAUAAAGCGUGCCGGAGAUUGGUGGGCAGUAAAAAUAAAAAUUGUGACAAAAAAAAAAUGGUAAAUCAAUUUUGCCAAACUAAAAGGAGGAAGAGCAAAUGUAUGGCACAAAAAAUGCUCGAUGUAAAAUCAUGCAAAACAUAAUAAGUGGAAAAAACUGUAAAGAAAAAGAGUGUUAAUUGGCUUUAUUAAUCACCAUAGCUGAAAGGAUUGUCAAUAGCAAUUACACUGCUAGCACACACUAGCAGUGCCAUUGGCUUCAUUAAACGAGAUUGACCAAAUGUAAUGCAACACCUUUUAUAUGUCUACAUUUGAAUUUAAUUUUAUAAACCAUAAUGAGCUUAAUUUUUUGCCUAUUAUAAAUCACUUCAAUAUGCAAA